GCCCACAUGGCGGAAUGGUAGACGCAACGGACUUAAAAUCCGUCGGCCUUUACGGGCCGUGCCAGUUCGAGUCUGGCUGUGGGCACCA
rnacentral:tRNA from 1 species